rnacentral:rRNA from 1 species
UGGGGAAUAUUGCACAAUGGGCGAAAGCCUGAUGCAGCAACGCCGCGUGAGUGAUGAAGGUCUUCGGAUUGUAAAGCUCUGUCUUUUGGGACGAUAAUGACGGUACCAAAGGAGGAAGCCACGGCUAACUACGUGCCAGCAGCCGCGGUAAUACGUAGGUGGCGAGCGUUGUCCGGAUUUACUGGGCGUAAAGGUGCGUAGGCGGAUGUUUAAGUGAGAUGUGAAAUACCCGGGCUUAACUUGGGUGCUGCAUUUCAAACUGGAUAUCUAGAGUGCAGGAGAGGAGAAUGGAAUUCCUAGUGUAGCGGUGAAAUGCGUAGAGAUUAGGAAGAACACCAGUGGCGAAGGCGAUUCUCUGGACUGUAACUGACGCUGAGGCACGAAAGCGUGGGUAGCAAACAGGAUUAGAUACCCUGGUAGUCCACGCCGUAAAACGAUGAGUACUAGGUGUAGGAGGUAUCGACCCCUUCUGUGCCGCAGUAAACACAUUAAGUACUCCGCCUGGGAAGUACGAUCGCAAGAUUAAAACUCUAAAGUGAAUU